AGAAAACACGAAACUGAGCUGUACAAAGAUGCUGAUGAGGGGCUGCAGCAUGCAAUUCACUUCACCAGCAGUCACUAAGGUCUGAUCUCUUUUCUAACCAUACCUGGAAGAUGGAAUGCUGGACCCAGGGUAUGCAUAGAAAAUGGGAGUUAUUAGAAAAGCAGCUUUGCUUGCUUUAACCCAGGAAUUGUAUUUCUGACUAGACUUGGACUAGAACUUUCACCAUUGGCUUACCUGGUUCUCAGACUUUUAGACUUGGACUGGGACUACACCAUCAACUUUCCUUGGUCUCCAGCUUGCAGACAACAGAUUAUGGGACUUGCCAGUCUCCAUAAUCAGAAGGCUUUGACAUAUCAAUGCACCAGGGAUCUUACCAAACUAAAUUUUAAGCACUUAUAGCUCAAGAUUCUCCCUCUGAGAUGAAACAUACUUCCACCCUGUCAUGUGUCAGCUUCAGAAGAUAUCAAUUGCUCAAGAAAGUGUUGGACAAGCAGAAAAGCACACUGAACAUUUCUGGACUUGUGAAAGAGCUCUGAAUAUGGAUCUCUCAGGGAUAUUCCAUCCCCACCAAUGCUUUACCAAUGCGAGAGCUGGCCAGGCUGAGACAUUUAAUGAUAACAUGGAACAAUUUAUUCAGGAAGAUAGUCAACUACUCAUGUGGCUUUAUGAUUAUAAAACCCACUGAAAAUUGGGUCCCUUGAUUCUCUUGAUUUUUCCUAAGCCUUACUCCCUAAAGUCUCCAAUUUGAUGAGGUAUUUGAUACUUGAUCUCUCCUUGAAGUAAAAUUUGGAGCAAAAUAUAUUGGACUGGAAGGCCUGAGACCUCGAUAAGAAGAAACAUGAACCCCAGAGCCACAGGUCAGGAGGUUUUCAUUAUAAUACUAUUGCCCUCUUAAAACAAAUACUCCAAUUGCCAAGGUUUCCUCACUUAAUAAUUUAUCUCAUAUGUGUUUUUGAAAGUUACUCUGAAUACUUCUUAUAUGUAUAAAUAAGUUAGUUAACAGUAAUUAAUGCAGAUAUUUAAAUAAAUACAAGCAGGCAGGUGGGAUGAUGACUACAGUCACUUGAUAAAGAACAGCUAGGUGGCCGGGCGCGGUGGCUCACACCUGUAAUCCCAGCAUUUUGGGAGGCUGAGGCGGGUGGAUCAUGAGGUCAAGAGUUCGAGACUAGCCUGGCCAACAUGAUGAAACCCCGCCUGUACUAAAAACACAAAAAUUAGCCGGGCGUGGUGGCAGGCGCCUGUAAUCCCAGCUACUCGGGAAGCCGAGGCAGAAUUGCUUGAAACCGGAAGGCGGAGGUUGCAGUGAGCCAAGAUCGGGCCACUACACUCCAGCCUGGGCGAAAGAGCAAAACUCCGUCUCAAAAAAAAAAAAAAAAAAAAAAAAAAAAAAAAAAAGAAUAAAAGAAAAAGAAGAAAAAACAGAAUAGCUAGGUUCAGGUGAAACUUGGGGAGUAGAAUGCCAGUCCUACCUGGAUCUGCAUCUAGUAGAAGACCUUAGGGAGAUAGGAUUCCCUCAGGUCCAGAAAGAGAUUUCCCAUGACCUCGGAUUGCAGACAUAAGAUUUCGCUUACUAAAGCAGUUAAAGCUAGUGCUGCUAGUCCUUAGGAAAUCCCCAGAAUCAACAUAGUUACAGUCUCUCACCUAACCCAGAUCAUGACCACCUGUCUUGCCCACAGACUCCAGGGUAGAUACCACAUCUCCUUCCCAGUCAAAGCUAUUACUAGAGUAGAAUCUUGAAAUUUUCAGAAAGUGGCUUUCUUGAAGUGGUAAGAGUGGGGAUUUCCCCACUCUUGUCUGCACAUGUGCAGCUUGUCCCCAGCAUGUGCUGGUUAUGCUCCAACUGACUACGUGAAGGAACUGGCAGACCUGUGCUCAGUUGGUUGGUCAGAACAGGCCCAAUCCAAGGAGUCCAUCACUUCAGAAAGCAAGUGAAGGAACUCUCCAGAGCCGGACUUCUCAACCUUUAAUGUACAUAUGGACACAAACAUCUGGAGAUCUUUUUAAAAUGCAGAUCUGGAUUCAGAUAAGCUGGGAUGUUACCUUUCUUACAACCUCCCGGGGGAUCUCAGCUUCAGACCACACUGUGAGCAGCAAGGCUCUGGGAAGACUUCCCUUUUUGGCAGUGAUUUCCAAUCACCAGUUUCUCAUACUUAAAUUACCCUUUAAACAGUCAAACUUUGCUUUAUUUUUAUUUUAUUUUUGUUUUUUUGUAGGUCUCACUUUGUUGCCAAUUCUGGUCUGGAGCCCCUGGGCUCAAGCAAUCCUCUUGCCUCAGCCUCCCAAAGUGCUGGGAUUACAGGCUUAGCCACUGUGCCCAGAAACAAGCUUUGCUUUAUUUCAACAUUCUUCCCACCCCUCCCCCCUCCUGCCUCUUGGGGUUUCCUCCUUCACAUUUACACACAUACAAUGCAGGAAGCCUUGUAUGCAUUUAAGGAAGAGAGGAUUUGGAGAUGGACAUUUCUUCUGUAAGCCAUUCAGUAUGCCUAUGAAGUACUUGUGGUCCUCUUUAAAUAUAUGUUUGUUUCUGGACCUUAUUUCUGUUUUACUCAAUCAGGAUUUCAGAAUGCAGGACCUAGAAAUUUGCAUUCUAUUAGAAGACUCAGGUUGAUAUGAUUCAGGCCACUCGCAGAACACAGUUUGAGAGACUGCAAGCAACACCUUCUCCCUGUUCAUUGAUCACGUGGGAGGCUUAGCAGGUCACUAGACCUGCUAGAGGACAACUCAAGUAGACAUAUCCCCCAAUUAUGAAAAAGUGCAUUUCAAGGUAAAAGUGACCUCAACAUAAAUUGGAAUUUUGCAGUGCUGAAUUAAUUAUUGACACAUUUGCUGAGAAGCAAGCAUGGUUUAAAAAUAACCACAGUCACAACAAAACCACAAACCUCUGACUUAGGCUUUCUAAAUAUAAGAAACAAAAGACGAACCAGAACCUCCAGUAACUUCCCUCCAGGCCCCAGCUUUCACUGGCCCGAUUUUACCUGAAAGCAUCUGAGCAUGGGCUCUCUAGGAUCUCUCAAUAUGCCCCGUCCCUUCCCAGCUCCCAGCUCCCAUUUCCCUGUGUCCUUUGGCUGCCUAACUCUAUACAUCACAAAGAGCUACAGAAAUAAAAAUGCAUGAAUUGGUAAGGCAGAUUUAUGCUUGAAUUAGAUAAAUGCAUAUUUCAUCUCUAAGCAAACACUGAAAUAGCAUAAGUCAGGAAGUUGUACAUAAGAAAUUCUGUUUCCUAUCAGAGAAGCAGGGACUAUUUACCUCAUGAUGGCUGUUUCCCUGCAGUUCUGAAAAGCUGGGGUCCCGGUUGAUUUUGUUUUUAGCUUACUGAUUCCAAGCAAAUGCUGAAGAGGUUUCCACCCAGGGUGCUGUUAGGUCUGUGCUUUUAUGAAAGGGGAAAGGAAAGUGAAACUGAUGGAACCCUAUCAAGAUCCCUCUUGAGGGGAAACUGAAACAGAAUCUGUGAGAACUGAGCUCACUCACGCCAGGAACAUGUUCCAGACAGAUUUGGAAAACUGUGGUUUGAAAGUUGUAAAAAGGCACUGUAAAAAGAAAAUAAAAUUUUAGAAGCUUCCAAAUGUGUUAUGUCAAGAGGCAAAGUUAAGCCCUGAAAACUGACUCACGUAACGUGACUGUUUUUUUUCUCAGGUGCAUGACUGUUGCUCUUUGACCUGUGUGGUGAGGGGUUACAUGUUAACCAGACUCCCUAGUCUCACUGCAAUUUCUGCCUCUCGGGUUCAAGUGAUUCUCCUGCCUCAGCCUCCUGAGUAGCUGGGAUUACAGACGUGCACCACCAUGCCUGGAUAAUUUUUGUAUUUUUAGUAGAGGCGGGGUUUCACCAUGUUGGUCAGGCUGUUCUCGAACUCCUGACCUCAUGAUCUGCCCGCCUUGGCCUCCCAAAGUGCUGGGAUUAUAGCCUUGCACCACCGUGCCCGGCCUCAGACAACCUAGUCUUUAUUAAAACGUAGACCUCAUGUUAUGGAAAUAGAGACCCUUUUGAUUGUUACUUUUUUUUUUUUUUUUUUUUUUUGAGACAGGAUCUCACUCUGUCAUCCAGGCUGGAGUGCAGUAGCACGAUCUCAGCUUACUGCAACCUCUGCCUCCCAGGCUCAAGCGAUCCUCCCAUCUCAGCCUCUCCAGUCAAUGAGACUAUAGGCACGUGCCACCACGCCUGGCUGAUUUUUGUAUUUUUAGUACAGACGGGGUCUCACUAUGUUGCCCAGGCUGGUCUCCAACUCCUGAGCUCAAGCAUCUGCCCUCCUCGGCCUCCCAAAGUGUUGGGCUUAUGGGUGUGAGCCACUGCGGCCAGCCAUGUUACCUCUUUACAAAAGAAUAUUAAGCAAUUCCCUUGGACUGUAAUCAAUAGUAGCCAAUCAAAUUGUAUAUCUGUAUGUUAGCCUCUGUAUGGAAAAUGUUGGCCAGGCACGGAGGCUCACGCCUGUAAUCUCAGCACUUUGGGAGGCCAAGGUGGGUGCAUCACUUAAGGUCAGGAGUUCAAGACCAACCUGACCAACAUGGCAAAACCCCAUUGCUACUAAAAUACAAAAAAAUUAACCAGGCAUAGUGGCGUGCUCCUAUAGUCCCAGCUACUUGGGAGGCUGGGUGGGAGAAUCCCUUGAGCCCAGGAGUCUGAGGCUGCAGUGAGCCAUGAUCGGGCCACUGCACUCCAGCCUGGGUGACAGAGUGAGACUCUGUCUCAAAAACAACAACAGCAACAACAAAAACAACAACAACAAGAGAAGUUGUCAUUCUGUUGAACACCUCUGUCUUUGCCUAUGUAAACAGUCCUCAUUUUUCUCUACACUGGAAGUACUGUUCACCAUUCUUGGGUGCAGCUCUACUCCUGGGACUGCUGCCCUCAACUUUUUGUUGAAUAAACUCUUUUAACUGGA